AGCGAACGCUGGCGGCAGGCUUAACACAUGCAAGUCGAACGGACACUUCGGUGUCAGUGGCGGACGGGUGAGUAACACGUGGGAACGUGCCCUUAGGUUCGGAACAACACAGGGAAACUUGUGCUAAUACCGGAUGUGCCCUUUUUGGGGAAAGAUUUAUCGCCUUUGGAGCGGCCCGCGUCUGAUUAGCUAGUUGGUGGGGUAAAGGCUCACCAAGGCUACGAUCAGUAGCUGGUCUGAGAGGAUGGCCAGCCACACUGGGACUGAGACACGGCCCAGACUCCUACGGGAGGCAGCAGUGGGGAAUCUUGCGCAAUGGGCGAAAGCCUGACGCAGCCAUGCCGCGUGGAUGAUGAAGGUCUUAGGAUUGUAAAAUCCUUUCAGCGGGGACGAUAAUGACGGUA
rnacentral:rRNA from 1 species